ncrna:unclassified sequences ROOL RNA
AUUUUAGUGAAUAUAUACUAUUAUCUCAGUGAAAACAUAAUUUCGCAGAUUAUGCUGAGGUAUACUGAAAUGGUCGGUAGUAUACGAAACAAGGAUACUUGUGGAAACUACCGUUUUUUAUGCAGUGAUGUUUAAAAAGAAUCAAUAAAUCAAAGGUGUAGCACUAUUAUAAUCGCAGAUAAAAGCAACUAUCGCUUCGGUAACGCAAUAGACGCAUCAGACGAUGAAGAAUCCAAGUUAGGAAAUUAGCUGGUUACUAAUUUCACACCUUGGAAAUACCAUAAGUUAUUUCGCUGUGAAGCAAGGAAACUUGUGUAUAAGAUGUGUAUAGGUUCUAAGUAGGCAAAGGCGAGAAAAAUUAAUGAUAAUGAAUUGUUGCUGAAAGGUGUAGGUAAUCAUUCUUAUCAAGGCUUGAAAUUAUUUGUGGCAGGAAUGUUAUAAGGUCGCUACUUAUAGCACAUACCUGUUUCCCUUGUGGCUGAAUAUAUCUGAAGAUUGUAUUUAGUAGAAUGAAGAUUCAAUAGUAUAUGUUCAAUAAA